AAGAAUAUUUUAUGAUUUUUUUUUCCUGUUCAAGGUAUGGUGUAAAUAACACUAAGCAUUACUUUACCUGUGGUCACUUUGCAUGCAGCUCCCAUACAAUACAUUUUCUCUCUUGCAAUGUCGUCGUCGUCAUCAUCCUCUUCAUCCUCACCAUCACCACCACCAAGGCGACCUGGUAGACCUACCAUAUAUUCCCCAUUAGAAAAAAAGAGGCGGAGAAAGAGUCUAGAGAGAAAAAGGGCUCAAUCAAGGAUAUGUAUAAGAGAACAAAUAGGAAGAUGGAUGUCACUUAGGGAAACGCUUAAUGUCUUCUCACAUGCUGAAGUUGCCAGGUUUUUGCUGGACUUAUAUGACACUUAUGAAAACCGAGAUGUGUGCAAGGAAUCAGAAGUAAAAAUACAGGAAGCAGAUGGAAACUCAACAUUAAAUGCAGAAAAGGAUGUGCCAGAGACCUCUCUAACAGCAGGCACUGAAAGAUUACUAUGUGAAGAUUUAGAGGAUGGAUCUACAGACAGUUCAGGAGAAGAGCGCACUAUUGAUAAUGAAUUUGACCUUUCUAAAAGUUUUUCUUCAGUUAAACACUUGAAAAAUGUGUCUAUAGCAGAGGAUAUAUUGGGUAUUACAGAUGAAUGUGAUGAUGGGUCACAAGGUGACUUUAUAGAAACCUUUGAGGAGACAACUCAUGAUAUGACUUUGGAUGACACCCAGGAUAUUUCUCAUGAAAAAAUUCACAUUGUUUAUGAACGAUCCCUUCUUCAACUAGCCAAAAAAAUUGUUAUACCAAAAUGUAUGUUUUGUGCUGGUGAAGUUGAUAUUUCUGUACAGCCUGUUUCUUCCUGUGUGCAUUUGAUAUGGAAAUGUAGUGCAGGACAUAUAGCAUUUGAAUGGUCUUCUCAACCUUUGGUGAAAGGACAGACCCAUGCAGGAGACCUUGCUUUAUCUGCUGCAAUCAUACUGUCAGGAAACAAUUUUGGAAAAAUUUCACAAAUGGCAAACUUUAUGAAGCUGACAUUCAUAAGUGCAAGUACAUUCUUCAGAAUGCAACGUCACUUUAUUGUUCCAACUGUAGAAUCCUUCUGGUGUCGAAUGAAGCAACACAUUUUAGAGGAACUACAUGGGAAGGAAGUAGUCAUUAUGGGAGAUGGACGCAUGGAUGGCCCUGGCCACUCUGCACAGUAUUGUGCAUACUCAUUCAUGGAUUUAGAAACUAAACAAAUUUUAGCUAUUGAAAUAGUGGAUAAACGCAAAACGCAACUGAACUCCCCAUUUAUUGAGAAGGAAGCCUUUAGAAGAGGAUUACAAAAGUUGUUGGAUGAACAGCUAAUGGUCAAAGAAGUUGUUACUGAUUCACACACUCAAAUCUCUGCUUUGAUAACAAAGAAAUUUCCCUGUAUAAUCCAUUCAUAUGACAUAUGGGGUGGUGCCAAAAAUCUUGGAAAUAAAUUAAUUGAGGCUGGCAGACAGAAAGAUUGUGGCCGUCUUUUACAAUGGUGUUCAGAUAUUGUCAAUUAUUUCUGGUUUUGCUGCAAGGAAGCAAAUUCAUAUGAAAAAUUUAUUGGAAUGUGGUGUGGCUUAGUUCAUCAUGUGGUCAAUGAACAUCAGUGGGCUAGUGGAAACGGCAUCAUUGAGGGACGGUGCAAACAUGGUCCUCAAAUGGAUGAAAGAGAAAAGGAAUGGCUAGAAAAGGGAAGCAAACCUCACACUGAAAUGUGCAGAAUAAUUUUGGAUAAAAAGUUUCUGAGAAACAUCCCAUACUUUCUACAGUUUAGAUCCACAUUUGAUCUGGAACAGUUUCAGCAGCAUGUGCAUAUGUAUGCUCCUAAAAGAUUUGAAUACACCUAUACAGUGUACAGAGCAAGAUGUUUUUUGGCUGCUAUUGAUUACAAUAUGCAUUUGAACCGGCAAACCAUGCACAAUCAACAGAAUCAGUUAAUAUACCGUAGAAUUUACCAUAGGAAAUCUGGGAGAUGGACCUUGGUACCCAAGAAAGAAAAUAAGCAUUAUGUAUAUACUGAUGACAUAAUGGAGGAGAUAUUUCAGCGCCGUUUGGGGAUGUAGCAAGAGGUCCUGAAGGCGAAACCUCUGAAACCAAAUAUUUCAAGACUGAUUGCAAAAUGAAUUAUACUAAUUAGCCUUCUUUCACAAUUUAAAAAAAAAAACUUCUCCAGUCUUAUAUUUAUUGGAAUUGCCUCUGGUGUUGUUCUACUGGUGGGAAGCUGAGAAAGGAGUAAAGUGGCUUGUCCAAGGUCACAGAGGGACUUGAUGUCAGAACUGGAGCAGUCUGGAAUUUAUACCUUUUCUCUAAAGUGGCAGUUUCUCAAGAUUUAAAUUCUCUGUUUUAAAUACUUCAUUUUAUAGGUCUUUCUAAAAAUCUGAUCUGCCUCUGUACAUAGAUGACAUUAAUUUUAUCAUAAUGUGACUUAUUUAAGUUUUUUAAAUUACUUAUGCAGGGCACUGGGGAGAGAUGCUCAGGUAGCACGUUUCUCUUUUAGAUUUUUCUAUGAGCUCAUGCCGCGCUAAUAUGAGGGUGACCCCUUUCAUAAAUUUUAGUACAUGUACACACAUACUUAACAUAUUUUCUGUAUAUGAAACAUGUUCUUUCCAGAUGGGUUUUGAGUCUGAUUGUGUGGUCAGCCUAGAAAAGGUGUGUUUGUUGGGCUUAACUGGG